rnacentral:lncRNA from 1 species
GUCAGUGUUUUAGAAAGUCAAAGAAGGCUGCUGGGCUUAAAAUGUCAUGAGACCAAGAGACAGUGGAGCAAUGCAUGUUUGAAAAGGGAAAGAGAAAAGAAGCUCAGAAGGAAUUCCAAUAUUCAGAUGUGACAUAUAGAAGAAAGUGUCGACAUGAAAGAAUUAUCCGCCAGAGAAUUCAGAGGAAAAUCAAGAAUGCAUUAUAUCAUGAAAGUAAAGAAAGGAUAAUGACCCAAAAAAGAGCUUGGGGCAAGAUGGCCGACUAGACACAGCAAGUGGAAUUACCGCCAGCAAGGGACUGAGACAACUGGCGCACUCCUAACAAAUCAUCCGAUGGAAGGCACCAGGAGUGGCCGAGGGAAGACACAGAAGGAAGCUGGGCUGAAACAGGAGGAACAUUGCACUGGGCUACCAUGCGCUGGGACUUGUUCCUGGCCCCCAAGGACUCUCAGGGAAUGGGUGAGUUGAACUUGCAAGGAGCAACCUGUUCUAACCACGGACCUCUGGAAUUCCAGCUGCAGGAGGCCCCUCAACUGCCAUGGACACUCAGGUUGGCAGCCAGAGCUGCUUAGAGAAGUGGUAGGGGCAGCAAGCCAGCGGAUGUAGAACCCAGGGAGUUUGGUGCGAGAACAUUUGUAGCGGAGCACGGUCAGGGACUUCCAUCCCUCUAGGCUUGACAUGCUUUCAUAGGAGACUUUAGUUCUAGGGCAACAGUCGGACUUGAACUCUGCAGGGUGGUCUUGACCAUCAGACAAGGUUGGCCCAACAUGAGCACCCUUUAGUUUGCUGGCCUCUCCCAGAGCCCGAGCCUGGCAGCACCUGCUUGCAGGGAAGCCUCAGGUACCCUGAGGGCCUGCAUCAUAGCUUCUGUACUGGA